CCAUUCAAACUCUCUAACUUUUAAUCCUAAUCGUUUAAACUCACAUUUUUCUUCUAGAAGGAGCAGUUUGCAGAGGUUAUACAAUGCAGUUGUAUACUGCUUAUGUUUUAACCUCUCUUCUAACUCCCCCCACGUUCUUCAACCACCACAUCCCCAUUUUAAUAAAACCCUUACAAUCUGUAGUUCAUCUUGCCAUUCCAAAAGAAAUAAGAUCCGCAAUUCAUCUUAUCAUGGUCUACUCAUCCAUAGAAACCAUCAUCCUAAUUUGAGAAUUUAAGGUGCAAUCGAGGCUCAAGAGGCCUGGUCAAUCGGAGCUAUCAAUCUAUCAUCAUCAACCUUGGUCGACUAAAGGGUGGAUUUGUGCGACAAGUUUUCUUUCGUUGAUUCUCAUUACUAGAGAACCAGAUGCAAAAGAAUGAUGCCAAUGGAUGAUGAAAUUAAGGAAUCACCAACCUUCCUCUCAAUUGGAUGAGCUUAUUCCGGAUCCUCUAAGUUCCCAAUCGUUAUUGUCGUAUCAGCCCAUUUGUAGAUAAUGAUGGCGAUGAGAGACGGUUGCCUGCUCUUCUCAUCUGCAGAACCAGGAAAUCUUCAGGUAUGUUUGUGAAAGGAUCAUAUCCUGCAAAAACUAAGGCCAGAGGACAUGCGACUCGAGAUCUUUCGGACAAUUUGGUCCUUUGAAGGGCAGUUACUCGCAGGUGAGUACCUGAUAAAUGUUGAUGUCACUCCUUAAUUUCAUAUUGUAUUUCUUAAUUAUGUGUUGUAUAAGUAUAAAAACUUUAGGAUUGACAUAAAGCUCUUAAUAUAUCCUUUUUAUGGGAUGGUCUAUAAAGAAAGAGCUGGUAUUGUGAUAUCUUUGUAUGUUAGUUGUUUCAAUGUACCCUUUGGUCAAUUCUUAUUGUGGAUCACUAGAUUCGUUAAGACAAAGGUUACUGUUACACCUUUUGUUUUGUGGAAACUGUUCCAUUCAAGAUGAUUGCAACAUUUACCUUACUCAAAACGGCAUACCUGUUACUCUGCUUUGGAAUUACAUGGAUUCAACCUGCUUGCUUUAUUAAGGUUAGUGUUACAUUUAUUUGCGAAUGAAAGAGGUGGCAAGAUGGGUCUGUUGAACUCGCACAUAAGUUCCUGGACAUAUUUGUGCAUGGUAAAUAUUUUCAACUUAUAAGAAAUGACUUUCUUGCACUUUUUAUUAUCAUUAGUUUUUCUUUUAGUGUUACUAUAGGUCAUUUUAACUUUUCUUUUCAUAUGCUUAUAUGUUGCGGGCAUGCAAAUAUGGCACUUGAUGAUGAUGAAAAAUAAUCAGGUUUAGGUGAUGAUGAUAAAGAAAAGCAUGCUGAGCUGCUUGCUCUGCCACCACAUGGUUCUGAGAUUUCUGUUGGUAGGCUUCCUAAAGAUGUGGUUGAGGGAGAUUUGAGUGAAUUUUGUGAACCUUUUCGGGAAGUUGUUGAGAGAUUCGCAAGGAACAUUAAUGGAUGGACCUAUCCCUUCUACAAUAUCUCUGUUGACAAAUCUAGAGGAGGAUGAUAACCUGUUUCACCGGACCAAGUUCAAGCUUUCAUGUACAAGGGUGUUGCAAAAAUGUACUGAUUCUAAUCAGUUUAAGUUUACACUUUCUUCUGAUGCUUAAAUGCUGAAAUCAUGUAUUUAGAAUUACCUUGACGAUGCAUCUUUUGGAAAUUUUGUAUGUUUUAAAUGUAAGUUGGUCGUUCUAUCCAAACUGACCCGUAUGGAAUUUUGUAUCUUUUGAAUGUAACUUGGUUGUUUUAUCCAAACAGACCCGUGUUAGUGAUAUAUUAUAAAUACUAAUAUGUUCUUUA